rnacentral:rRNA from 1 species
AUUGAACGCUGGCGGCAGGCUUAAAACAUCCAAGUCGAGCGGAGAUGAGGUGCUUGCACUAUCACUUAGCGGCGGACGGGUGAGUAAUGCUUAGGAUUCUGCCUAUUAGUGGGGGACAACUCCCCGAAAGGAAUGCUAAUACCGAAUACGUCUUACGGGAAAAAGCAGGGGACACCUUGUGACCUUGCGCUAAUAGAUGAGCCUAAGUCGGAUUAGCUAGUUGGUGGGGUAAAGGCCUACCAAGGCGACGAUAUGUAGCGGGUCUGAGAGGAUGAUCCGCCACACUGGGACUGAGACACGGCCCAGACUCCUACGGGAGGCAGCAGUGGGGAAUAUUGGACAAUGGGGGGAACCCUGAUCCAGCCAUGCCGCGUGUGUGAAGAAGGCCUUAUGGUUGUAAAGCACUUUAAGCGAGGAGGAGGCUCUUUUGGUUAAUACCCAAGAUGAGUGGACGUUACUCGCAGAAUAAGCACCGGCUAACUCUGUGCCAGCAGCCGCCGUAA